CCAGAGAACUUUCCAGAGAUGGAUUGGUGCCUUCGGGAACUCUGAGACAGGUGCUGCAUGGCUGUCGUCAGCUCGUGUUGUGAAAUGUUGGGUUAAGUCCCGCAACGAGCGCAACCCUUAUCCUUUGUUGCCAGCGGUUAGGCCGGGAACUCAAAGGAGACUGCCAGUGAUAAACUGGAGGAAGGUGGGGAUGACGUCAAGUCAUCAUGGCCCUUACGAGUAGGGCUACACACGUCCGCUACAAUGGCGCAUACAAAGAGAAGCGACCUCGCGAGAGCAAGCGGACCUCAUAAAGUGCGUCGUAGUCCGGAUUGGAGUCUGCAACUCGACUCCAUGAAGUCGGAAUCGCUAGUAAUCGUGGAUCAGAAUGCCACGGUGAAUACGUUCCCGGGCCUUGUACACACCGCCCGUCACACCAUGGGAGUGGGUUGCAAAAGAAGUAGGUAGCUUAACCUUCGGGAGGGCGCUUACCACUUUGUGAUUCAUGACUGGGGUGAAGUCGUAACAAGGUAGGCGUAGUGCU
rnacentral:rRNA from 1 species